rnacentral:rRNA from 1 species
UUCCGGUUGAUCCUGCCGGACCUGACUGCUAUCGGAUUGAUACUAAGCCAUGCGAGUCAUUGUAGCAAUACAAGGCAGACGGCUCAGUAACGCGUAGUCAACCUACCCUAUGGACGGGAAUAACCUCGGGAAACUGAGUAUAAUGCCCGAUAGAACACUAUACCUGGAAUGGUUUGUGUUUCAAAUAAUUUAUUGCCGUAGGAUGGGACUGCGGCCUAUCAGUUUGUUGGUGAGGUAAUGGCCCACCAAGACUAUUACAGGUACGGGCUCUGAGAGGAGUGGCCCGGAGAUGGGUACUGAGACACGGACCCAGGCCCUAUGGGGCGCAGCAGGCGAGAAAACUUUGCAAUGUGCGAAAGCACGACAAGGUUAAUCCGAGUGGUUUCUGCUAAAGGAACCUUUUGACAGUCCUAGAAACACUGUUGAAUAAGGGGUGGGCAAGUUCUGGUGUCAGCCGCCGCGGUAAAACCAGCACUUCAAGUGGUCAGGAUGAUUAUUGGGCCUAAAGCAUCCGUAGCCGGCUCUGUAAGUUUUCGGUUAAAUCUGUACGCUUAACGUACAGGCCGCCGGGAAUACUGCAGGGCUAGGGAGUGGGAGAGGUAGACGGUACUCGGGAGGAAGUGGUAAAAUGCUUUGAUCUCUCGAUGACCACCUGUGGCGAAGGCGGUCUACCAGAACACGUCCGACGGUGAGGGAUGAAAGCUGGGGGAGCAAACCGGAUUAGAUACCCGGGUAGUCCCAGCUGUAAACUAUGCAAACUCAGUGAUGCAUUGGCUUGUGGCCAAUGCAGUGUUGCAGGGAAGCCGUUAAGUUUGCCGCCUGGGAAGUACGUACGCAAGUAUGAAACUUAAAGGAAUUGGCGGGGGAGCAC